CAUCUAGCAUGUGCGCAAGUCAUUGGGUAUUUAUAAUAAACCUAAAGGCGUAAUGAAAGUAAAUAUAUAUAUAUAAUUUUUAUAAUUAUAUUUUAUAAAGGGAAGAUGGGUAACGUUAUUUAUGUUACCUCGCAUUCCCGGGGCGUCGCAUACUUAUUGCAAGUUGCGGCGCACCAAGAGCGUACACGCUGGGACCCGAAAGAUGGUGAACUAUGCCUGGUCAGGAUGAAGUCAGGGGAAACCCUGAUGGAGGUCCGUAGCGAUUCUGACGUGCAAAUCGAUCGUAUGAACUGGGUAUAGGGGCGAAAGACUAAUCGAACC
rnacentral:rRNA from 1 species